rnacentral:rRNA from 1 species
GAUGAACGCUGGCGGCGUGCCUAAUACAUGCAAGUCGAGCGGUAAGGCUCUGCACCUAUUAUUUGAUCGAGGUAACUCCGGUUACUACAGCAAACCAAUUCAAACCUAGGCUAGGAGAGAUGAGGAGAGGGAAGAUCGAGUAAUGUGUGUAGAGUACACGAGCGGCGGACGGCUGAGUAACGCGUAGGAACGUACCCCAAAGUGAGGGAUAAGCACCGGAAACGGUGUCUAAUACCGCAUGUGGUCUUCGGAUUAAAGCUUCGGCGCUUUGGGAGCGGCCUGCGUAUGAUUAGUUUGUUGGUGAGGUAAUGGCUCACCAAGGCUUCGAUCAUUAGCUGGUCUGAGAGGAUGAUCAGCCAGACUGGGACUGAGAACGGCCCAGACUCCUACGGAGGCAGCAGUAGGGAAUUUUCCACAAUGGACGAAAGUCUGAUGGAGCAACGCCGCGUGCAGGAUGAAGGCUUUCGGGUCGUAAACUGCUUUAUAUGUGACGAUUUU